rnacentral:rRNA from 1 species
GAAGGUGUGUCGUGAGGCAUGCUGGAGGUAUCAGAAGUGCGAAUGCUGACAUAAGUAACGAUAAAGCGGGUGAAAAGCCCGCUCGCCGGAAGACCAAGGGUUCCUGUCCAACGUUAAUCGGGGCAGGGUGAGUCGACCCCUAAGGCGAGGCCGAAAGGCGUAGUCGAUGGGAAACGGGUUAAUAUUCCCGUACUUGGUGUUACUGCGAAGGGGGGACGGAGAAGGCUAUGUUGGCCGGGCGACGGUUGUCCCGGUUUAAGCGUGUAGGUGUGUGUUCCAGGUAAAUCCGGUUCACUUUAACACUGAGGCGUGA